UACGUAGGGGGCAAGCGUUGUCCGGAUUUAUUGGGCGUAAAGAGCGUGUAGGCGGCCAGAUAGGUCCGUUGUGAAAACUCGAGGCUCAACCUCGAGACGCCGAUGGAAACCAUCUGGCUAGAGUCCGGAAGAGGAGAGUGGAAUUCCCGGUGUAGCGGUGAAAUGCGUAGAUAUCGAGAGGAACACCUGCGGCGAAGGCGGGUUGCUGGGCUGACACUGACGCUGAUGCGCGAAAGCCAGGGGAGCGAACGGG
rnacentral:rRNA from 1 species